rnacentral:rRNA from 1 species
AUACGUAGGGUGCGAGCGUUGUCCGGAAUUACUGGGCGUAAAGAGCUCGUAGGUGGUUUGUCGCGUCGUCUGUGAAAUUCCGGGGCUUAACUCCGGGCGUGCAGGCGAUACGGUCAUAACUUGAGUACUGUAGGGGAGACUGGAAUUCCUGGUGUAGCGGUGAAAUGCGCAGAUAUCAGGAGGAACACCGGUGGCGAAGGCGGGUCUCUGGGCAGUAACUGACGCUGAGGAGCGAAAGCAUGGGUAGCGAACAGGAUUAGAUACCCUGGUAGUCCAUGCCGUAAACGGUGGGCGCUAGGUGUAGGGGUCUUCCACGACUUCUGUGCCGUAGCUAACGCAUUAAGCGCCCCACCUGGGGAGUACGGUCGCAAGGCUGAAACUUAAAGGAAUUGACGGGG